GAGCGGCGGACGACUGCGUAACACGUUGGAACCUACCCCAGACUCAGGGAUAACUCCGGGAAACCGGUGCUAAUACCGGAUGGUCUCGUAAGAGUAAAGCUUUUGCGGUCUGGGAGGGGCCUGCGGCCUAUCAGCUUGUUGGUAAGGUAACGGCUUACCAAGGCUAUGACGGGUAGCUGAUCUGAGAGGAUGAUCAGCCAGAAUGGGACUGAGACACGGCCCAUACUCCUACGGGAGGCAGCAGUGAGGAAUCUUUCGCAAUGGACGCAAGUCUGACGGAGCGACACCGCGUGGAGGAUGACACCAUUUUUUGGCGUAAACUCCUGUUCUGAGGGAACAAAUUUUUGAGGGUACCUCAGGAGAAAGCACCGGCUAAUUCCGUGCCAGCAGCCGCGGUAAGACGGAAGGUGCAAGCGUUACUCGGAAUCACUGGGCGUAAAGCGUCUGUAGGCUGCAAAGUCAGUCUGCGGUGAAAGGUGGGAGCUCAACUCCCAUUACGUCGCGGAAACUGCUUUGCUCGAGCAAUUCAGAGGCACCUGGAAUGCUGUGUGUAGGGGUAAAAUCCGUUGAGACACAGUGGAACGCUAAAAGUGAAGACAGGGUGCUGGGGAUUUGCUGACGCUGAGAGACGAAAGCGUGGGUAGCGAACGGGAUUAGAUACCCCGGUAGUCCACGCCCUAAACGAUGCGUGCUCGGUGUGGGGGAACGUUCAAUCGAUCCUCCGUGCCUCAGCUAACGCGGUAAGCACGCCGCCUGGGUAGUACGGCCGCAAGGCUAAAACCUAAAGGAAUAGACGGGGACCCACACAAGCGGUGGAGCAUGGGGUUUAAUUCGAUAGUAAGCGGGGCACCUCACCCAGGUUUGACAUCUUAGGAAGAUUCUAGAAACAGAAUCGUGCCGCAAGGAACCUAAUGACAGGCGCUGCACGGUCGUCGUCAGCUCGUGCCUUGAGGUGUGUUGUUAAGUCAAUGAACGAGCGCAACCCUCAUCCUGUGUUGCUUUUUCACAGGAGACUGCCGGCUCCAAGUCGGAGGAAGGUGAGGAUGACGUCAGAUCAGCGUGGCCCUUAUACCUGGGGCGACACCCAUGCUACAAUGGCCGGUACAGCGAGCAGCAAAGUCGUAAGGCUGAGCGAAUCUCUUAAAGUCGGUCUCAGUUCGGAUUGAAGUCUGCAACUCGACUUCAUGAAGUUGGAAUCGCUAGUAACCGUGAAUCAGCCACGUCACGGUGAAUAUGUUCCUGGGUCUUGUACUCACCGCCCGUCAAGUCAUGAAAGGCAGAAACACCCGAAGCACCUUUACCCGCAAGGGGGGGUACCACGGUGGAAUUGCUGAUUGGGACUAAGUCGUAACAAGGUAUCC
rnacentral:rRNA from 1 species